rnacentral:rRNA from 1 species
CCUACGGGGGGCAGCAGUAGGGAAUUUUUCACAAUGGGCGAAAGCCUGAUGGAGCAACGCCGCGUGCAGGAUGAAGGCCUUCGGGUUGUAAACUGCUUUUAUAAGCGAGAAAUAUGAUGGUAACUUAUGAAUAAGGAUCGGCUAACUACGUGCCAGCAGCCGCGGUCAUACGUAGGAUCCGAGCAUUAUCCGGAGUGACUGGGUGUAAAGAGUUUCGUAGGUGGGAUAAUAAGUAGCUAGUGAAAUCUGGUGGCUCAACCAUUCAGACUAUUAGCUAAACUGUUAAGCUCGAGACCGUUAGGGGUAACUGGAAUUUCUAGUGUAGGAGUGAAAUCCGUAGAUAUUAGAAGGAACACCAAUAGCGUAGGCAGGUUGCUGGGACGGUUCUGACACUAAGGCACGAAAGCGUAGGGAGCAAACGGGAUUAGAUACCCGAGUAGUC